CGCGGGCCGGCUCCGGCGUGGGUGGGGCCAGGGGUCGCCUAGGAGGCGCUCUGGGGCCGGGAUCGGCGUCGGGGUCGGGGUUGGGGUUGGUUCACCGCAGCAGCCCCAGCUCCUGCGCCCUCCCUGGACUGAGGUGUGCUCGCUUUGAGGAGAAGCCUGGAGUGAUCCGCUGCCUCGGGUCGGAACGUUUCCAUUCAUUCCGCUAGCAUUUAUUGAGCGCUUAUGAUAUGUCAGUCCCCGGAGUCCGAAAGAGGAAUCAGACACAGCUUCCCUGCCCUGUAUGUUACAAGUCACUCUGCCUCUGUGGGGAGAAGGCAACUUCUUCAUGAACUCGAACAUCCUUUGCAAUUCUGUAUCAGAUACUUGGCAGGGUUUAAAAAAACAUGGCACCUCUUAUAACUUUUCACCCCCAAUAUUAUGUUUUAUCUGCUAAUAAAAUAAUUAUUUGGUAAAACACCCGCACAGGCGUUCACUUGACCCUCAAAACAACUUUGAUUUUUAAAAUGAGGAAAAUGAAAAUUAAAGAGGUUAAAUGGCUUGACUAAAUCACAGCUGUGAUUAAAUCGUAAUGAUGAAACCAAAAGUCAAAGUCCUGGUCUCCAAAUCUUGUGGUUCCCCAGUAUGCAUAAUUAUCAAUAACUGCCUUGCUUUCCAAUACUUUUAUUCUUUCUUCUACAAUAUUCCUCACUGUUACCAGUAAGUUUGGCUGUCUGAACUGACAUCAAAUUUAAAAGGACUGCAGAAAAGAGAAUCAGUUCAAUGUAUGGGAAAUCAUUUCCUGAAGAGAAUUCUUCAAUAAACUGCUUAUUGGUAUCUGUGAGUUCUGUUUUGUUAAAAUAAUAGAGGAGCAGCUGACUCUUUUAUUAUUUUUAAAUUUUUGUGACAGAGUCUCGCUCUGUGGCCCAGGCUGGAGUGCAGUGGCGCAAUCUCAGCUCACUGCAACCUCUGCCUCCUAGCUUCAAGCGAUUCUCAAGCCUCAGCCUCCCGGGUAGCUGGGACUAGAGGCACGUGCCACCAUGCCGGCUAAUUUUUGUAUUUUUAGUAGAGACAGUGUUUCACCAUGUUGGCGAGGCUGGUCUCAAACUCCUGACCUCAAGUGAUCCUCCCGCCUGAGCCUUCCAAAGUGCUAGGAUUACAGGCAUGAACCACCAAGCCCGGCCAACUGACUCUUACAGAUGGGAAUACAGUUAUCACCAGGAUGGCUGUUACCUGCUAACUCUGUACUCAAGAUUAUCAUAAAAGGAAUUUUU
rnacentral:lncRNA from 1 species